rnacentral:tRNA from 1 species
AGGUCCUUAGCUCAGCUGGCAGAGCAGUUGACUCUUAAUCAACGGGUCGUGGGUUCGAUCCCCACAGGGCCUA